AGCAGCCGCGGUAAUUCCAGCUCCAAUAGCGUAUAUUAAAGUUGUUGCAGUUAAAAAGCUCGUAGUUGAAUUUCGGGAUCAAUACGUCGGUCGUGCUUCGGUACGUACUGGCGUAAUUGAUUUCUCCCUUCUGACGAACCAUGAUGUCAUUAACUUGGUGUCAUGGGAAAUCAGGACUGUUACUUUGAAAAAAUUAGAGUGUUUAAAGCAGGCUCACGCUUGAAUACAUUAGCAUGGAAUAAUGAAAUAGGACGUUCGAUCCUAUUUUGUUGGUUUUUAGGAUCAACGUAAUGAUUAAUAGGGAUAGUUGGGGGCAUUAGUAUUCAAUUGUCAGAGGUGAAAUUCUUGGAUUUAUUGAAGACUAACUACUGCGAAAGCAUUUGCCAAGGAUGUUUUCAUUAAUCAAGAACGAAAGUUAGGGGAUCGAAGACGAUCAGAUACCGUCGUAGUCUUAACCAUAAACUAUGCCGACUAGGGAUCGGAUGAUGUUAAUUUUUAAUGUACUCAUUCGGCGCCUUAA
rnacentral:misc_RNA from 1 species